CGCUCUGAUGGGCUAGUGGUUAGAGCGUCCGCCUCGGAUGCGGGAAUUCGUGGAUUCGAUCCCCAUUCGAGUCA